rnacentral:tRNA from 1 species
GGGGGUAUAGCUCAGUGGUAGAGCGCUUGCCUAGCAAGUGAGAGGCACUGGGUUUAAUCCUCAGCACCCA